UACGGGGGGGGCAAGCGUUGUUCGGAAUUACUGGGCGUAAAGGGCUCGUAGGCGGCCAACUAAGUCAGACGUGAAAUCCCUCGGCUUAACCGGGGAACUGCGUCUGAUACUGGUAUGGCUUGAGUUCGGGAGAGGGAUGUGGAAUUCCAGGUGUAGCGGUGAAAUGCGUAGAUAUCUGGAGGAACACCGGUGGCGAAGGCGGCAUCCUGGACCAACACUGACGCUGAUGAGCGAAAGCCAGGGGAGCAAAGCGGG
rnacentral:rRNA from 1 species